AAACAACUGCAGACGCGGAUCGCCCCUCGCGCGUCGAUG
rnacentral:rRNA from 1 species